rnacentral:lncRNA from 1 species
CCAUGUAUAUAAUCAGGACCCACUAGACACAAUACUAAAACAACACACUCACUCAAUAACUCCACACGCCAGAUCAAUAAUACAUGUGAAUGUGCUAAAUGACCAAAUAGAGUUAAAACAACACAGUCCCCUGGCAGGAGGACCUGCCCCUCCACACACUCCCCUGGCAGGAGGACCUGCUCCUCCACACACUCCCCUGGCAGGAGGACCUGCUCCUCCACACACUCCCCUGGCAGGAGGACCUGCCCCUCCACACACUCCCCUGGCAGGAGGACCUGCUCCUCCACACAGUCCCCUGGCAGGAGGACCUGCUCCUCCACACACUCCCUGGCAGGAGGACCUGCUCCUCCACACACUCCCCUGGCAGAGGACCUGCUCCUCCACACACUCCCCUGGCAGGAGGACCUGCUCCUCCACACACUCCCCUGGCAGGAGGACCUGCUCCUCCACACACUCCCCUGGCAGGAGGACCUGCUCCUCCACACAGUCCCCUGGCAGGAGGACCUGCUCCUCCACACACUCCCCUGGCAGGAGGACCUGCUCCUCCACACACUCCCCUGGCAGGAGGACCUGCUCCUCCACACACUCCCCUGGCAGGAGGACCUGCUCCUCCACACACUCCCCUGGCAGGAGGACCUGCUCCUCCACACACUCCCCUGGCAGGAGGACCUGCUCCUCCACACACUCCACUGGCAGGAGGACCUGCCCCUCCACACACUCCCCUGGCAGGAGGACCUGCUCCUCCACACACUCCCCUGGCAGGAGGACCUGCUCCUCCACACACUCCCCUGGCAGGAGGACCUGCUCCUCCACACACUCCACUGGCAGGAGGACCUGCCCCUCCACACACUCCCCUGGCAGGAGGACCUGCUCCUCCACACACUCCCCUGGCAGGAGGACCUGCUCCUCCACACACUCCCCUGGCAGGAGGACCUGCUCCUCCACACACUCCCCUGGCAGGAGGACCUGCUCCUCCACACACUCCCCUGGCAGGAGGACCUGCCCCUCCACACACUCCCCUGGCAGGAGGACCUGCUCCUCCACACACUCCCCUGGCAGGAGGACCUGCUCCUCCACACACUCUCCUGGCAGGAGGACCUGCUCCUCCACACAGUCCACUGGCAGGAGACCUGCUCCUCCACACACUCCACUGGCAGGAGGACCUGCUCCUCCACACACUCCCCUGGCAGGAGGACCUGCUCCUCCACACACUCCCCUGGCAGGAGGACCUGCUCCUCCACACACUCCCCUGGCAGGAGGACCUGCUCCUCCACACACUCCUCUGGCAGGAGGACCUGCUCCUCCACACACUCCUCUGGCAGGAGGACCUGCUCCUCCACACACUCCCCUGGCAGGAGGACCUGCUCCUCCACACACUCCCCUGGCAGGAGGACCUGCUCCUCCACACACUCCCCUGGCAGGAGGACCUGCUCCUCCACACACUCCUCUGGCAGGAGGACCUGCUCCUCCACACACUCCCCUGGCAGGAGGACCUGCUCCUCCACACACUCCCCUGGCAGGAGGACCUGCUCCUCCACACACUCCUCUGGCAGGAGGACCUGCUCCUCCACACACUCCCCUGGCAGGAGGACCUGCUCCUCCACACACUCCCCUGGCAGGAGGACCUGCUCCUCCACACACUCCACUGGCAGGAGGACCUGCUCCUCCACACAGUCCCCUGGCAGGAGGACCUGCUCCUCCACACACUCCUCUGGCAGGAGGACCUGCCCCUCCACACACUCCACUGGCAGGAGGACCUGCUCCUCCACACACUCCACUGGCAGGAGGACCUGCUCCUCCACACACUCCCCUGGCAGGAGGACCUGCUCCUCCAAACACUCCACUGGCAGGAGGACCUGCCCCUCCACACACUCCACUGGCAGGAGGACCUGCCCCCCCCCUACCACUACAAGACCAUGGUGUUUACCUACAGAACAGCAGGAGGACCUGCCCCCCCCCCCCCUACCACUACAAGACCAUGGUGUUUACCUACAGAACAGCAGGAGGACCUGCCCCCCCCCCCCUACCACUACAAGACCAUGGUGUUUACCUACAGAACAGCAGGAGGACCUGCCCCC